UCAUAAGCUGCAGGAAGUCGGUGCUCCGGAGCAAGACGGUACUCGACGGAGACUACGACAGCCGGAAUUUCAGUCACAAUUGGAGUGUACAAAGCAUCAAAACUGGCUGUAUUUACACUACACGCGACGAAGCCUCCGGCAUGAAAAUAAAUAAUGAGGGGCAAUUUUUGUUUAGGGGAGGAAUCAUCAUCAUCAAACGCUUUCCGCGGAACGAAUAUUCGAGCCCAGGUGCCCUUCGAUUGGUUUAUGUCCAAGUCCUUUGAAAGAUGAAAAGGGCUGCUAGGAUCGGACGAGGCAGGUGUGCUCGGUGGUUGAAACAGGCGUGUGAUUGAGCCAUCGGGAUUUUUUGCCAAUCCCAUGUAGCCAUAGGGGUUUUCAUUAGGAUCAACUGGCUGCUGAACUUGAUCUGACAUGAUGGUUUUCUUGGACAGAUGUUUUGUGGGUAGGAAAGGAUAGAAGGUAUAUUUGUAGAGGCAGCAGAGUCUUGAUAGUUUUCUCUCUGGCUGCGUUGGCUGAUAGGAUUUGUAGUUUAGACGAUUAGUAUACGUGUUUGCCUCACACUCUCAAUACACAAGAACGCCGUUCUAUCCUAUGUUUUUCGAACCGGACCGGAUAGCGACUCGACCGAGGCCAGGGGUCAGGGGUCAAUGGGUUCGACCGGGGGUCGAUAGGGAUCAAACCGGAUGACGUCAUAAAUAAAAAUUAUUUAAAAAUUAAAAUAUUAUAUAUAUAAUAUUUAAUAAUAUGUUGAUAUUAAUAAAGGUAUAUUCAUAUAUAUUUGAUGUUUCAAAUAUAUUUAAUAUGAAAAUACAAAGAAAUUAGAACAAUCAAGUAGCAAUUUAUAUUAUUUAAUAAAUAUUAAUAAGUUUAGAAUUAAAAGUAUGAAUUAAAUUGAAAAAUAACAUCAAAUUUUAGGAUAAUAUUUAUAAAAUAUCAAAUAUUUGAGGUAUAUCAAUAAGUUUUAAUAAUUUAGGGGGUCAAAACAUAAUAUUAAAAAGUUUGAAUUUUUUUUUAAAAAAACACUGUUGAACCGGAAAAUCGGUUUUUUCCGGUCAAACCCGGUCAAAAUCGGUUUUUGACCGACUUUGACCGAGUUUUAAAUUCCCGGUUUUUUAGUAUGGCUCGGGCCGACUAUCUGACCGAUUUUCGAUUCGACCGGUCGGUCCGGUCCGAAUUUCAAAACAGAGGUUCUAUCUGCUAAUUUGUUGUACAACAUGUAGCAAUUGAUUGAACUUUGAAGAUCAGUCAAUAAGUGCUAAGUACCAACAACUCCUUUGUUUUUUUAUUAUUUUUUUAUUUGACCGAGGAGUGGAAUAAUAGUUUUCAUUUUUCAAACUUCCCGGGAAGAUUAAAAUAUUGACCACUUCUUCAACUUGACACGAGAGACCGUCAAAUUUGGCGAUUGAAUUUCGAUUAUUAUUAAUGAGACCGAGGAGGGUUCUUAAUAGGACUGCAAACGAAUCGAGCCGCUCGAGUCAAGCUCGAGUCGAGCUCGAUAUUAAUCGAGCUCGAGCCGGCUCGAAUCAAACUCGAGCUCGAACUCGAGUUCAGAAUAUUAAACUCGUUAGUAUAUAUAUAUAUAUAUUUUUUAUUUAAUAAUAAAAUUAUGUAUAUUAUAUAUAUUUUUUAUUUUUUAUUUUCAUAGUAAAAUUACGUAUAUAUCCUUAAUAUUUUAUUAUUUAUUAAGAAAAAAUAUUAUUUUAUUUAUUUUUUAAAAAUAAAAUAAUUAUUUUUUUUUUCGAGCUCGAGCUCGAAAAUUGCUGGCUCAUCCAGCUCGAGCUCGAGUUUGGUAAAAUUUAGUCAAGAUUCGACUCGAUUAACUCAAAACUCGACUCGACUCGUUUGCAGCUCUAGUUCUUAAGAAGCCCAAAAGUUGAAAAAGAAGUAAAAUCUGGGAGGGUUCCAACUUAUAAGUUGAAGGUGGUUUGGAACGUCCCCGGGUAGCACAGAAGGAGAUUUUGGGAGCAGAUAUUUUGGGAGUUGUUACCCCUAGGGGUGAUUUCUUCUUAAGGGGGUUUGUCAUUUCUUAUCUCUACAAUAACAAAGUUUGUGUAGGCAUUAACUUUGUUUAUUUUCAAAUUUAUUUUUAUCUCUAUUAUUUUUCUAAUGAUUAGCUUCUCCAUUAAUCAUUAUUUCUAUUAUCAACUGAAACACAAAUUUUAUCCAAUCAAAAUUACCUCCCUUCAAUUCUCACAUUCUCCCUUACUAAUGCGUUUUUUACUUCCAAUUGUACAUAUUUCUGUAUAAUACACUUUUUAUCACAUAUUACAUAAAAUAGUUACGCUCAUUUGCACUAUUUUUGUAAUUCUUUCAAUUUAAAAUAUUUUUUGACAAAUUGCACACGCAUUAAGUGUGCCUCGAUAACUAGUAGUAACUAAUAAUGAUGAAUAAAGGGAUACUUUAUUAGUUUGACAAUUUUUUGGACGAUUUUCUCUAUCUUCCAAACAUCCAAGUAAACUGGCACAACAAUUUGAGUUCAAUUUUUAUUACAAACUCCACCCAAAAUAUUCUUGUUUAUUGGUACAUCAGGUAAAAUGCGGUGAAGUUGACCUCUAUUGUUGCAUAAUUAUAUUUCAGUUGUAUAAAAUUGAAAAGACAAGAUGAAAAAUAUAGGACAUGUAUAUUAUUAUUGACAUAGAAAAUCAUUCAACAGAUAUAUUACUUUUCAUUUAGAUGUGAUUAGACUUUACUUUUUCCACUCAACAUGCCAGUAGAUGCACCUCUACUUUCCAUAAAGUUGCAACCUCCCUGUUCUAGUACAGAUGAAAUGUAGAAAAUGGAACUUUACAAAAGGAAAAAACAGCUAAGGAACGAAAAGAUGGGAAAAAAUUUAGGUAACAUGAAAGGCAAUACUAGUAAGUUUUUUUUUUUUCGAUAAGUGCAAAGUUCUGAAUUCAAGGACCUCUUACUUAUUAUUCUUUUUCACUUUAUCAGCCAACCCAAUUCUCAAUGAAUACUAGCAGUAUAAGUUUUGUACUCCGUAUAACUGAUACAACUAUCACCCUGUUACACUACCAUGCAAAUCCAAGACCUUAAUUGUAUUAUUAUCUCUUUGAAAACAGAAGGGCACAGACAAUUUUAUCACUCAUGUAACUAGAUGACAAUUUUGGGACAAGAAAAGUCCAAAUAUUACUACAUCAAAAGUCCAGUUCACUCGAUAUAAUCAAAAGUAGUCCAUACUGCACACAAAUGAAAUUAGCUAGUAAGCCACCAAACAGAAAAGCUAGUUCUACCAUACCAGCGCACUAGCUUUGCUUAGCUGAACUUUUUGGCUUUUGACCUGUUGUAAGAUCAAAAUAGCUUCCCAAAGCACAUACUUUUUCAAGAAGUGGUGGUAGAUUCAACAAGGUCUUUAAUAACAAUGGCUAGUUCUUUAGCCUUUGUGGGAUCUCCAAGCUCAUACCCAUGACAUCCUCCCUCAGCAAACUUGCCUGUCACCGAUACACCUUUCUCUUCUAAUUUCUUCCAAAGCUCAAUCUGCCGAUCUAUCAACAGAUCACCGUCAAAGCCAGUGACCAAAAUCUUCCACCCCAGAGAUUUGACCUGAUCAAAUUGGUCUGGCUUAAUCUUCGCCAUUGGGUUGCAAUACUCAUGAUCGCGGUCAACGCCGAUUGGCAAGCUCAGAUCCCACAUCAGAUCAGUUAACGUCAACGGUACAACCCUGUCGUUGGCGAGCCUCAACUCUGACUCAGUCCUCUCGAUCCCACCAAAGAAUGGCUGAUGCAAUAUCAACCCUUUGAUCUGCAGAGGCAGGAGAUCGUCAACACAUGCAGCUACUUGGAGGCCAACAUGAUAAGCAAUGUUACCACCAGCACUACUGCCCAUCAAGAAAGCCUUAGAAAAAUCAGCAUGUUUUUCCAACCAUUCGUCGUUGGAGUUUUUGAUGAUCCAAUGCAAGGCUUCGAAGCAAUCUUCAUAAGCUGCAGGAAGUCGGUGCUCCGGAGCAAGACGGUACUCGACGGAGACAACUACAGCCGGAAUUUCAGUAACGAUUGGAGUGUACAAAGCAUCAAAUAUGGCUGUAUUUACAGUACACGCGACGAAGCCUCCAGCAUGAAAAUAGAUAAUGAGGGGCAAUUUUUGUUUAGGGGAGGAAUCAUCAUCAUCAAACGCUUUCCGAGGAACGAAUAUUCGAGCCCAGGUGCCCUUCGAUUGGUUUAUGUCCAAGUCCUUUGAAAGAUGAAAAGGGUUGCUGGGAUCGGACGAGGCAGGUGUGCUCGGUGGUUGAAACAGGCGUGUGAUUGAGCCAUCGGGAUUUUUUGCUAUUCCCAGGUAGCCAUAGGGGUUUUCAUUAGGAUCAACUGGCUGCUGAACUUGAUCUGACAUGAUGGUUUUCUUGGACAGAUGUUUUGUAGAUAGUAGAAAGCAAGAUAAUUGUAGAGUUUAUGAGGUAUUUGUAGAGCCUGCUUGCCAGCUAGUUUGACGGUUACUCUCGUUGCUCUCGAUAAUGACUUGUAUUAUAUGGGAUUAACGUUCCUAUGACAUAAUCUAUCCUAACCUAGGAGACGGAAGUCGAUGGAAGUAGAAAUUUUAUUAGAGAAAAUCACUUAAGGCAGUCACAUACAGUAAUAAUUUGAUGAAAGGUAAAAAUUAAACCCAUGAUUUCCCAACAUCAUCAAAAUUUAAGUGCAUGACAGUGAUCACCAGGCAAAGGGCUGGUAGCGACCUUUCUCACUUCACAAGAACGCUAAUUUAUUAUAUAACCGUUUGGUUGACUUCUGAUGGAGAAAUCGAUUAAAAACCGGCUGAUUUACUCCUAGUGCUGUAACUUAAAUUUUGCUGUCUGCAUUCGAUGAGUUUUGAUCCAACAAAAUUUUGGGAUUUUCACUGUGACUUGUGGGACAUUGGGGAUUCGGCCCCAUUGGUGGAGUAGUUGGAAUAUUAAUAACAGCUAAUUACUCCUUUGUUUCUAGUGGUUCGAUUUGAACGAAGAGCUAAACAAUAGCUUUCAAACUUCCGUGGAAGGUGAAAUGUUGACCAAUUCUUGAACUUAGACUGGAGACUAUCAUUUUUUUUUUGGGUAACGCUGACACUUGUAUAAUCUAUUCUAACCUAUUUCAGAGGAAGGGAGAGCCUGACCGACGAAGUUUCAUCGAAGGAAGCCACUUGCAAUAACCUACUCUAACCUAUUCUAAACGGGAUUUCGUCGAGGGAAGCCAUUUGAAGGUGAUAACCAUAAUUAAAUGACAAAUAUACGAUAAGAGAGGCAAGAGUUGACUCCUAUUUCCACCAAAACUAAAGUCUUAGUGGUGAUCGGCAGCUUUCAACAACUAGGGGUGUGCAAAAUCAAAAUAUUCCGAUUUGCCGACCGAAUUCGAAUUGAAUUCGGAAAUUCAAAUUCAAUAAUUUGGAAUGAAAAUCUGAUUUCGAUUUCGAUUUUGAAUUAUGAAUUCGAAAUCGGAGUUUCGUUUUCGAAUUGGUCGAAUUCGGUAACGAGAUUUUUCAAAUCGGAAAAUUCCGAUUUCGAAUUCACAAUUCAAAAUCGAAAUCGGAAUUCAGAAUUUCUAUUUCGAUUUCAAAUAUGUUUUUCAUAUAUAUAUAUAUAAUAUAUAAUAUAACAUUUAUAUUAUAAUAAUAAUUUUUAUAUUCAUGAAUUCGGUGAAAUCGGAAUUCCUAUUUCGAUUUCAAUUUUGUUUUCACACACAUAUAUAUAUUAUAAUAUUAUAUAUAUAUAUGUAAUAUAAUAUUUAUAUAAUAAUAAUAAUUUUUAUAUUCAUGAAUUUGGUGGAAUUGAAAUUUACCGAAUUUCGAAUUGGAUUCGAAACGAAUUCAAAUUUGAAAUUGGUGAAUUCAAAAUCGAAAUCGAUCAAAAAUUCUGAUACAAAAAUUCUGAAAAAUUUCGAUUUGAAAGUUCCGAAUUACCGAUUUCGAUUUCGAUUCACACCCCUACCAACAACCUCUCAACCCAAGCGGUUGUUGGCUACUAUCGUAUUUCGUUGGUAGUCGAAUCCGAUCCUUCCAUCUAUGAUUGGACUGAGGAGGGUUCAAGCCCAGAACUUGAGGAAAAAGUAAAAUUUGGGGGCAGUUCUUCUAUCUUCCAAGUUCAAGUUUCAAGAUUCAAUCUACUUGGGAGAUCCUCUGGGGCCACUAAAGAGAUUUUGGGAUCUGCUGUUUCGGGGUUGUUACCCACCCCAGCCCCCUGGUUGUUUUCUUCUUAAAGGGCCUUUGUCGCACGUUAUAAACCAAACAAAGAAACAAAAAUUACAGGGAAAAUUACUGUCUUAGUCCUAAUGUACAGCCCUCCGUAGUUUUAGUUCUUAAAAUUUUGAAAAAAAAAAAAUUUGAUCCCUAAUGUUUAAUAUAUGUAUAGUUUUGGUACCUAAAGUUUGGGCAAGAACAUAUCUGGUUCUCAAUGUAUCCAAUUUAAAGCAGAUUGAUUUAUGACAAUUGAUAAAUUUUUACUGACAUAAUUUAGUCAUUAGCAAUCAUGAGUCCAUUAAAUUGAAUUCUAAAAUAAGGGUAAAUUACACUAACUUGAAUUUUAAAAUAAGGGUAAAUUACACUGACUUCCUCUCUAGUUUCUGCAAAAGUUACACACCUCCCUUCUUGAUUUUAAGAUAACAGGGAUCUCACCUCUAAAUCACUAUAUAAUGUUAAUUACUUCCCUUACUGUUAACCAGAUAAUGAAAGUCAAUUUGUAUUGCCAUUAAUAUCCUCCCACAUCCCAAAAUGCCCUAGGUUGACAUUUUUUUAUUAUUUUCUACAAAAUUGAAAAAUCUGAUUGCAAGAUCUUUUUUCUUUAGCUCUUAUGGUAGUAUGAAACACAUCCUAGGAUUUUGUAGAAAAUAUCCAAUUUAGAUCCAACAGAAUUGGAGGCUUCAACCGCUGAUAUAAAUCUCAGGCUCAUUCACUAGGCUAAAAGGCCUAUAUUUCCCUUUCCAUUUUGAUAUCUACCAUUUGUAAUGUAGUUAUUAUACUCGACUCGACCUGACAGUUGAAUUGGUCAACUUGAUGAAUCAGCCACCUAACCGACUGGGUUAGUAAUUAGAUUGGAUAAUGGAAGAUCCCAUUGAUUAGUUAAUGAUGCAGUGGGGGUUGCUGGAACUUGAAUCCAAGACUAGUCGGUCCAUGUCUUUCUUUUCGAAUAGGAAAUAGUUCAACCAAAAAAAUCUCACAAACCCAACAAUGAUUGGACUAUCGGUUCGACCACUAAUUCAAUUAUUUAUUUUUUUUAAUAACUCAAACUUUUCAUUUUAAUUUCAUCAUCAUUUUUCUUGCUAUAGUAUUUCCUUUUUAUAAUAGAUUUUUAGAAUUUUUGAAAAACAUUAUUUGUCAAAAUUUGCUUAUCACUUUUGAUGAACGAUCAAUACUCCGCAGCCAAGGUAGGUGGAACAAUUGAGUCGGCGACCGCGACUGCAACUGCCAUGGCAAAUCAGGUCCCAACCCUGAUUAAGCCAUUAGGAUUAAGGCCUAUGUCACUUAAUUCGUGGAUGGAUCAAUUCCAUUCAUGGUAGAUUUCCUGUAUAUGAAGACAUUCCAAGGUUUAUGCGGUGGUAGACCUGGCGGUCCAUCCUGUAUAGGUUUUCGGUGGUUGUGAGCAAUUGAAACAUGGCCAGGUAACAUCAGGUCACCAUCCAGUUGAACUCUAUAUGUUGGCCUCCGGCCAAAAGAAAAAGAAUGAUACGCAUGAUGUUGUAGGCAAGCAAACUUGUGUAGAAAAGUUUGACCCUGGCAUCUGAAAUCAAUAAUGUCUGAAAAACCAGUGUUAGAGGAGAUUAACCCGACUCUUCAAAACUUCCAGUAGAUUUGUAGUUACCCAACUCAACAAAAACAGAUGAGUUACCAGACCAGAGGGUUGAGGUGCAUGAGACAUCGGAUUAAAAUUUACUUCCAUAAUACAGAUUUAGAAGUUUGAUACAGAUAUAACCUGGGUUUAAACCUGACUACUUCAAUAAACCCGGGUCUAAUCUAUUGCAUGGUUAUUAUCGUGUGACAAUGGUUUAAACCCAGGUCUAACCUGUUGUAAUUGUAAACCUGAAAGUUUUUGAAGGAAAUAAAGAACACAGAACCACUGACCAAAUUUUGAGAGUAACCUGUUGUAUGAUCAGAACAAUAUCCCAAGCACAAACUUUUUCAAGAAGUGGUGGCAGAUUCUACGAGGUCCUUAAUGGUAAUGGCCAGUUCUUUAGCCUUGGCGGGAUCUAGAGCCUCGUACCCAUGACUUCCUCCCUCGUCAAACUUACCUGUUACUGAUACACCGUUCUCUUCUGAUUUCUUCCAGAGCUCAAUCUGACGGUCUCUCAACGGAUCACCAUCAAAGUCAGUGACCAAAAUCUUCCACCCUAGAGCUUUAACCUGAUCAAAUUGGUCUGAUGUAAUGAACGCCAUUGGAUUGCAAUACCUAUGAUCACGGUCAAAGCCAAUUGGCAAGCUUAGAUCCCACAUCAGAUCACAUACUGUCAACGGUAUGACCAUGUCCUUGGCCAAUUUCAACUCAGAUUCAGUCAGCUCGGUCCCACCGAAGAAUGGAUGAUGCAAUAUCAACCCUUUGAUCCGCAGAGGCAGGAGAUCAUCCAUACAUGCAGCUGCACUUAAGCCAACAUGAUAGGCUAUGUUACCACCAGCAUUGGUGCCCAUCAAGAAAGCCUUAGAAAAGUCAGCAUAUUUUUCCAUCCAUUCAUCGUUUGAUGAUUUAAUCCAACGCAAGGCUUCAAAGCAAUCUUCGUAAGCUGCCGGAAGCCGGUGCUCCGGAGCAAGACGAUACUCAACAGAGACGACGACAGCCGGGAUUUCAGUAACAAUUGGAGUGUACAAAGCAUCAAACAUGGCUGUAUUUACACUGAAUACAACGAAGCCUCCCCCAUGAAAGUAAACAAUGAGAGGCAAUUUUGUGGUAGGGAAGGAAUCAAAUGCUGCUCGGGGGAUGAAUAUUCGAGCCCAAGUGCCCUUAGAUUGGUUAACGUCCGCGUCCUUUGAUACUUGAAAAGGAUUGCUAGGAUCGGAUGAGGCAGGGGUGCCAGGGGUUUGAGCUUGAGACAGGCGUGUGAUAGAGCCAUCGGGAUUUUUGGUCAUUCCCAGGUAGCCAUAGGGGU
rnacentral:lncRNA from 1 species